rnacentral:siRNA from 1 species
GUUAGUGGUGUACGUCAUCUCGUA